rnacentral:lncRNA from 1 species
CAAGAAUGAAAUUCCACUCCAGUAUGAACUGCUUUUGCUUUUUUUUUUUUUAACAUAAAUAUGAAUCACUGAAUUAGCAUUGGCACAUUGGGUCCCUUCUUCGAGCCUCUAGUUUUUUAUCUGUAAAAUGGAGAGAAUAUUACCUUACUAAGCCGUUCUCACUCUUGGCUGCUGAUUAGGUCACCUGGGGACCGUUUACAACUCCCGACACCCCAGUAUCUGAGAACAGGGCCAUCAGGAUCUCGGGUGGGGUGGAACCCAUGGGGUGUUACAUUUUGAAGCUCCCCUAGGUGACUCCAGUGGGGCAGCGAGGUUGAGAACCACUGGAGUCACUCCUAGGUGGCUGUGGGCGAGGUGACACAGCUUCUGCAGAGCACCUCACAGAGGGUCUGGCACGUGUAAGAAUGCCCCACAGUCCGUGCAUUACGCUGGGAAGAAAGGCUGCAGAGUGGAAGUGGGAAGGGACAAGAAAGAGUGUCCAGGUGGGGUGGUAGGCUACGCAGUGGCAGAGUCUUGUAAGCAGGUGGCUCGUGUAGGAAAUUACAAGUCCAUCUGUGUGGAUCUGUGUGGCUGGAGCACAGCUUCUGGGGACAGCAAGAAACAUGUGGAAGGUUGGCGGAGGCAAGGGUAUGGAGCCCGUGGGCCACAGUGAGGAGUCUAUGCUUCAUCUCAAGGGCCAUGGGGAGCCAUUGGCUGUGCUCUCACUCCUGAAGGUCAUUUCUGCACAAGUGCACAUUGCUGUCACCCAUGCUAGUGUGAGUUUCUGGAAGGUGAGGCUAAGUCAGCCCCUCCCUCCUCUGUCCUUCCUUCAUGCUGUGUACCCGCCUCUCCUGUCACACCGGAUUGUGAGCAGGCAUUUGUCUCUGUCUCUCUCAAAGACUGAGGGCCAUGUCAGACUCGACUUUCUAUGCCCUCUCCCAGCUCAGUGCUUUGUGUGUAACAGGUUCUCAAAAGUUGCUAACUGCAGAAUAACUAUGACCAUUUAACUGCCUUUAUCUGUCACAUAUAAAAUAGAUUCCAAUUAAAUACCUUUCGACGAUGCUAAUAACAACAAAUAAGAAUAUCAACAUUUCUUGGGUUAAUGUGAUGUUCAAACAAAAGAUUACGUAAUUGGAUGAAAGGAGCUUCUCCCUUGGAAACUGCAAAGAAGUGCUUCACUUGUGCCAGGGAGGACUUCAGACCCUGGUGCGACUCAGUCACUCAGUGUAUCACGAUGAUGGCGUGUGGACGGAACACAUGGGUUCAUAGUUUGCAUCCCGGUUGGCUGGUGUUCCUAACUUGAUUCAGAGAACAUUCCUUUUUGCUCACCAUUUUGGACCACAUGCCUCCAAAAGGCUAAUUCCCACUUUUUGAGUUGGUGUUUAUUGAGUUCCAUCUGGUGAGCAGAAUACCAUGAACAUGUCUGAAAUGGGUUACGUUAAUGACUGCUCAACGUAGGAGAAAGGGGACAAUGAUAGCAAAGAUAAGGUCUGUUCCUAUUGAUUAGAAAACACAGUUGUAGUCUAAGCAUCGGAGAUUUUCUCAAGGUUAAGAUUCCACCCAAGAAAAGAGCAUGAAUCAGAAUUAGAAAUCAAGUCACACAAAGACAGACGUGUUUCCUAGUGGUGUUGAUAAACCGGGACAAAUGAGGGGGGAAGAUCAGGCAAAUAUUUGCAAGUAAAGUUUCAGAGAGCAAACGCAGAUUAGACACAUCAGAGAGAAAAUUUGCUUCAAAAAUAGAAAUUAAUUUAUUUAGUAAGUCAAAGAUAAGCUGGGUUGUCAUUACAUGAGAAAAUGGAAUGAUGUUCCCUAAAAUAAAAAAAUGUGUUUAAUCCCA